GACGAACGCUGGCGGCGUGCUUAACACAUGCAAGUCGAACGAUGAAGCCUUAGCUUGCUUUGGUGGAUUAGUGGCGAACGGGUGAGUAACACGUGAGCAACGUGCCCAGGACUCUGGAAUAACCGCGGGAAACCGUGGCUAAUACCGGAUAGGUGCCGAGGCCGCAUGGUCUUCGGUUGGAAAGUUUUUGCGGUUCUGGAUCGGCUCACGGCCUAUCAGCUUGUUGGUGGGGUAAUGGCCUACCAAGGCGACGACGAGUAGCCGGCCUGAGAGGGUGACCGGCCACACUGGGACUGAGACACGGCCCAGACUCCUACGGGAGGCAGCAGUGGGGAAUAUUGCACAAUGGGCGCAAGCCUGAUGCAGCAACGCCGCGUGGGGGAUGACGGCCUUCGGGUUGUAAACCUCUUUUAGUAGGGAAGAAGCGCAAGUGACGGUACCUGCAGAAAAAGCACCGGCUAACUACGUG
rnacentral:rRNA from 1 species